AUAGUUCCAAAUGGGAACAUAUUCCAAACUUGGCAGAUCAGCUCACCGAUGACAAAAAAAUUGCAGUUCAUCUCAGAAUCUCUUCUUCCCCACGAUUGUUCUUGCUCACUCCCUCUCCAAAGUUAGUUCAAAUGGUAGAUCAGCUCACCGAUGACCAGAUUUCUGAAUUAAAGGAAGCCUACAGUCUCUUCGAUAAAGAUAUAGAUGGACAACAUUUCGAUUGAAUGUGAAGCAACAAAAUGCCUUUCUAACGACGUUCUUUAGAACUCGGCCUUGGUAUGGAAUCAAAUGUGCACAACGUUGUCUAUUAGGGCUUGCCUUGAUCUGCGGGUCGUGGAAGUUGCUACUUUCCAAGGAAACAACGAUUGUUUGUACAUUACUUUCCCUUCAAAGGCUUUUGUACUGGCAAUUGAUGCAUACAAUGGAACAAUUCUCUAGCAAAAGAAUGUUGGUCCAUUAAGUUCUGCAGACUUUGCUCCCAACAGUUGAUUCUAUUGAUGAAGUUGAUUCCAUUGGUGAAUAUCCACCACCUUCUUCCAUUAUUAUUUUUAAAUAAUAUAAAAAGUUUUAUGUAUAUUAUUAAAAGUUAGGAUAUCCGAGUAAAAAGAACAUUAGAGAUAUAAAUAUUUAAUUUAUCAUAUUACAAGUUUGAUCUCUUUUGGUUUACUAAAUGGGCUAUUUUACUCAUUUUCUCCUUGGGAUUCUCAAAACAUUCUUUAAAUUAGACAAACAAGAUUAUGUAAUCCAGGUCAAAAACUUGCAUCAAGCUAUUCUCUGCCAGAACCAAACAUAAUGACAUCUACAUAGGAAAUUGUACAAUUGUGAGGGUCUUCAAUCAAGACAUACUAUUGGGAUUAAGGUUGAGGAUAGUUUCCUAGCAAGUUCAGUACCACCAACAUGUUCUACCAACUUUAGCUUCAGCAAUGGAUGAUUUCCAGAACCCUCGUGUACAGGCACACAUGUUGCCUUAGCACUGCUCAAUUGCAGUUAGAAUUGUACCCCGGACAUUUUGACACCAUAUUUGGACUGGUUGGUCAGCAAACUGCUUAUACUUUUGCAGAAUGGUAAACAAAUGGUACAAGAAGGUGCCUUGACAACCUUAGCAUUAGUUGCUGAUUCAUAUCAGGUGAUUUUGGUAGUUGGUUUGUGCAUUACUUAUUGUGCUACUGUGUUUUGUGUUUGUCUUGCUAGGAAUG